CAGCCGCCGCGGGAAUACAGAGGGUGCGAGCGUUAAUCGGAUUUACUGGGCGUAAAGCGUGCGUAGGCGGCUUUUUAAGUCGGAUGUGAAAUCCCUGAGCUUAACUUAGGAAUUGCAUUCGAUACUGGGAAGCUAGAGUAUUGGAGAGGAUGGUAGAAUUCCAGGUGUAGCGGUGAAAUGCGUAGAGAUCUGGAGGAAUACCGAUGGCGAAGGCAGCCAUCUGGCCUAAUACUGACGCUGAGGUACGAAAGCAUGGGGAGCAAACAGGAUUAGAUACCCCCGUAGUCCCUGUCUCUUAUAC
rnacentral:rRNA from 1 species